rnacentral:rRNA from 1 species
AGUGAACGCUGGCGGUAGGCCUAAUACAUGCAAGUCGAACGAAAGGACAAUAAGAGCUCGCUUUUACGGGUGGCGAGUGGCGGACGGGUGAGGCAUACAUCGCCAUCUUCUUUUUCGUGGGGGAUAACGUAAAGAAACAUACGCUAAUAGAGCAUACGACCUACGGGUGAAAGCAGGAGAUCUUCGCACCUUGCGCGAUAGAAUGAGCUGAGGUCGGAUUAGCUAGUUGGGGUGGUAAAGGCACACCAAGGCGACGCUACGUAGCUGGUCUGAGAGGAUUAUCCGGCACACUGGAACUGAGGCACGGGCCAGACUCCUACGGGAGGCAGCAGUGGGGAAUAUUGGACAAUGGGGGGAAGCCUGAACCAAGCAUCCCGCGGUGGUUGAGGAGGCUUUCGGGUUGGUAAACCCUUGUUAUGAGAAAGAAAAACAGGAGGAAAAAACUACGCUGUUCUGGCGGUACCCAAAUAAUAAAGACCGGCUAACUUCGUG